AGUGAACGCUGGCGGUAGGCCUAACACAUGCAAGUCGAACGGCAGCACAGUAAGAGCUUGCUCUUACGGGUGGCGAGUGGCGGACGGGUGAGGAAUACAUCGGAAUCUACUUUUUCGUGGGGGAUAACGUAGGGAAACUUACGCUAAUACCGCAUAAGACCUACGGGUGAAAGCAGGGGAUCUUCGGACUUUGCGCGAUUGAAUGAGCCGAUGUCGGAUUAGCUAGUUGGCGGGGUAAAGGCCCACCAAGGCGACGAUCCGUAGCUGGUCUGAGAGGAUGAUCAGCCACACUGGAACUGAGACACGGUCCAGACUCCUACGGGAGGCAGCAGUGGGGAAUAUUGGACAAUGGGCGCAAGCCUGAUCCAGCCAUACCGCGUGGGUGAAGAAGGCCUUCGGGUUGUAAAGCCCUUUUGUUGGGAAAGAAAAGCAGCAGGUUAAUACCCCGCCGUUCUGACGGUACCCAAAGAAUAAGCACCGGCUAACCUCGUG
rnacentral:rRNA from 1 species